rnacentral:lncRNA from 1 species
UUUGCCAUUUGUUUCCAAGACGCUGACUGAAAGUGUAUUCCAAAUUCAUUACGGAAUUGCGGUGUCGAUCUACAUUUUCAGCCAUGAAAUGGCAAUCUGGCAUAUAAUUUCACUUGGCCAAAUAAUCUGACGACGUGGGUCGAUACUGUGUCCAUUUUGCCGAAAUGUCGGCCAUUGUUAAGCUGUACCUAUACGGCUGUACGUCUCAUUUCGUGCAGAAACACUUCAGAGCUAGUAAAUUGAUUUUCAGGUCGAAAAUGGAGAUCCCUUUGCUCAACUGUUGCAGGAAUUUAGAACAAGACAAAGUCUGAGCUUCAUGGCUGUAGGAUCAUUAAUGUGAUUUUGUUGCAGCCAGCUGGUGAAAGGUGUGAUCGAGUCAUGGUUGAGUUACAGCUUCUGCAUGCAGUUUAUCGAGCUGGUGCUAUCCCAAGUGUAACUGCAGGAAAACUUCUUGAAUUGCUAGGUGAAGUCUGCGCUUCUUUGUUGCAGUCUAAUUUGUGCUUGGAUUCAUUGCAGUCAUCCAGUGAAAGGUGUGAUUAAAUUGAGCUGUUGCAUGCAGUCUUUGGUGCUGAUGUUGUCCUGGAGUGUGGGAGAGUCCCAUGCUUCAAGUCUUCUGGGAUCAGUCAUAUCUGAGUUGACGCUGGAUCAUGCUGCAUUGUGGUUGCUGAAAUGUUGGACAUCUAGUAGAACUGCAAGAAGACUCCUUGAAAUGGUUUAUGUUUACGUAGCAGUGAUGUUGCAGUCCAAUAUGGCAUGUUGUUGCAGCCUAU